GGAGGAGGAGGAGGAGGAAGAAAAGGAAAGAAGAGAGAGAGAGAGAGAGAUUUCAUUUCCUCAUCAGUGUCACAUUUUUCCAAUUCCUUAGCGAUGGCCUGAUGAAAUUCACUCCUUUGUUUAUUGCUACUGUAGUCUCUGUGCGUUUGUGUGUGUGUGUGAAAGGGAGAGAGAGAUAGAGACAACUCACAAAAGGCAAGGAUAGUGAUUGGCCCAUGACAGGAUCUCAUGAGGAUGUGGAUUGGCUAAUGGCCUCAGGAAGAGUUAAAUGAAUGUCGCCAUGAAGGGUCAAGGGGGUCGUUUCCGUGCCAACGGAUGUAGCUGAUAAGUUUGUUUCUGUCCAGCAUUGUAGCAGAAUUUGUGUUCACAUCAAAACAUGGCCAUCCAUCUACAGCCCUUUUGCUUAAAUACAAACACACACACAAACACACACACAAACACACACACAUAUACACAUACACACAGUCUUGUCUGUAACAGAAUAUGUACAGUAUACACACGAUAGUGUUAAUGUGUGUGUUCACUGUCAUAACUACACACUGAGAAGCAAUGACUUGCCAAAAUAUAAAGUGUGUGUGUGUGUGUGUUUGUGUGUACAUGAAAGCAUUUAGCCAGCCAUUGAAAGAGAUUACAUCAGAUUCAAACUGAGCUGAUGAAACAAUAAAAGAAUGAAUUGCAUUUGUGGGAAUUGUUCCAUGGGCAUUGCACAGAAGACUAAUGCAUCUCCACCAGGGUGUGUGUGUGUGUGUGUCUUAGUGUCUGUCUGCAAAUGUGCAUUUGUCUCUAUGUCCAUCUUGGCGUGUGUGUGUGUGUGUGUGUGUGUGUGUGUGUGUGUGUGUGUGUGUUUUGUCACAGGAAGGAAGGAGCUUAGGAAUAUGAUUACAUUUCACAGUAAACAGUGGAACAGGGGGGUACUGAUCCAUUUUCCUGGACACACACACUCACACACAAACACACGCUCACACAUACACACAUACACACAUACACACACUCACUAAGUGAGUGUUAUCUCUUAUUUUGUCGUCACUUGCUUUUCUCGGUCUCUUUCUCUAUCCUUGCUUCUCUGUCUAUCUUUCUCUCUCUCUCUUUCUGUCUGUCUCUCUCUCUGUGUGUGUGUGUCCUCCCCCUUAUAGUACAGCACAGAACAUAUAGACAUUAAAAGCACAUCAAAUGAACAUAAACAACAAUAACCAAAUAAUCCAUAGCAGCCAUCAUAAUACCAUAGUCACAGUCCAAGCCGCCAUUUAAAGUGCAAAUAGAUAACUAUAUACCUGAACAUACAGACAAUAAUAGAUAACUAUAUACCUGAACAUUUAGACACAUAUAGACACAA